UACCAGCACCCCGAGUGGUCGGGACGUUUAUUGGGCCUAAAGCAUCCGUAGCCGGUUCUACAAGUCUUCCGUUAAAUCCAACUGCUUAACAGGUGGGCUGCGGAAGAUACUAUAGAGCUAGGAGGCGGGAGAGGCAAGCGGUACUCGAUGGGUAGGGGUAAAAUCCGUUGAUCCAUUGAAGACCACCAGUGGCGAAGGCGGCUCGCUGGAACGUUACUGACGCUGAGACGCGAAAGCGUGGGGAGCAAACAGG
rnacentral:rRNA from 1 species